rnacentral:rRNA from 1 species
UGAGUUUGAUGAUGGCUCUGAUUGAACGCUAUCUAAGUGCUUGACACAUGCUAAUCGAACGACAUUCACCGUAAAAAGAGAAUGAAGUGGUGUACAGGUGAGUAAAAAAUAUUUAGGCUACCUUAAGGAAAGGGGUAAAAUCCCAUAAAAGAAAGUAUUCGCUUUAAGAUGAAAAAAAAUAUUUCGGAAAGUAGUAGAAAAGGUAAUGUCUUAACUAGCUAAAAAUCCGUAGUCGAGACUGAGAGGUUGAUCGACCACAUUGGGUCUGAAAAAAGCCCAAUGCAUAUAAGUACAGCAGUGGGGAAUAUUGGUCAAUGGCCUAACGGCUGAACCAGCAACUUGGAAGAAUGAAUAGUCUUAAAACUUAAGACUAAAAGAAAGUAAAAAAAGUUCUAAAUAGAAUAAUGAUAAUGACAAUUUACUAUUUAUAAGUCUUGUCCAAAUUACGUGCCAGCAGUCGCGGUAAUACGUAGAAGACUAGUGUUAAUCAUCUUUAAUAGGUUUAAAGGGUACGUAGACAGUAAAUUAAACCCAAGCAGGGUACUUUUUUACUAGAGUUUAAAAAGAGAAGGGGAGAAUGUUUGGAGUAGAGAUAAAAUUUAUUAAUACCAAAAGGACUGAUACUGGCGAAGGCAACCUUCUAUGAAAAACUGACGUUGAGGGACGAAGGCUUGGGUAGCAAUAAGGAUUAGAUACCCUAGUAGUCCAAGCAGAAAAUUCUGAAUGUCAUAGGUUAGAAAAGUCUAACAUAUAAAUGAAAGUGUAAACAUUCCACCUCAAGAGUAAAAUGGCAACAUUGAAACUGAAAUCAUUAGACCGUUUCUGAAACCAGUAGUGAAGUAUGCUAUUUAAUUCGAUAGUACGCGAAAAACCUUACCACAAUUUGUAUAAAUGAUACAAGCGUUGCACGGCUGUCUUCAGUUAAUGUCGUGAGAUUUGGUUAACUCCUUUAAUUAACGAAAACCCUUACUUUAUUUAUAAAUAAAGUGGUUCACUAUUAGAUUAGAUUUGAUAAUAGGGAUUAAGACAAGUCAUCAUGGCCAUCAUAUUGUGGGCUAUAGGCGUGCCACACAUACCAAAACAAAAGGAUGCAAUAUUGUGAAAUGGAGCUAAACCUUAAAAUUGGCUAAUAAGGAUUAUAGUCUGUAAUUCGACUAUAUGAAUAAGGAAUUACUAGUAAUCGUGAAUCACCACGUCACGGUGAAUCAUUUCUCAGUUAGGUACUAACCACUCGUCAAGCGCUGAAAGAAGUGUGUGCAAUAAGUUUGAUUUUUGUAUAUUUAAAUAUAUAUAAUAAGUUAUAUAUAAAUAUAUUUAAAAUUUUCAUAUGUAUGACUUUAAUUGGUGUUAAGUCGAAAUAAGGUUCGUGUAAUGGAAAUUGCACGGG